AAUGAACGUUGGCGGCGUGGAUUAGGCAUGCAAGUCGGACGAGAACCCUCCUUCGGGAGGGGACAGUGGCAAACGGGUAGUAAGGCGUAGGUGACGUACCCUCCGGACCGGGAUAGCCAGGGGAAACUCUGGGUAAGUACCGGAUGAUCUCCUCGGGCAUGAUCGCUCGGGGAGGCAAAGGUGUGAUUCCACCGGGGGAGCGGCUUUACGUAGGUAUUAGCUGGUUGGUGAGGUAACGGCUCACCAAGGCUGCGAUGCUUA
rnacentral:rRNA from 1 species